rnacentral:rRNA from 1 species
UACGUAGGGGGCUAGCGUUGUCCGGAAUCAUUGGGCGUAAAGCGCGCGUAGGCGGCUUUGUAAGUUAGAGGUGAAAGCCCGGAGCUCAACUCCGGAACUGCCUUUAAGACUGCAUCGCUUGAAUCCGGGAGAGGUGAGUGGAAUUCCGAGUGUAGAGGUGAAAUUCGUAGAUAUUCGGAAGAACACCAGUGGCGAAGGCGGCUCACUGGACCGGUAUUGACGCUGAGGUGCGAAAGCGUGGGGAGCAAACAGG